ACGAAAGCAAGAUGAGGCUAAGAAAGUCUCUGAUGCAGUCACCGACUCUGCUAAGAGGGCCAAAGACGACGCAUCUGAAAGAGCUGGAGAUGUGAAGGAUGCCGCAACACACAAGGCAGAAGAAAUGGCGGAUAGGGCAAAAGAGAAGGCCAGUGAAAUGAGGAAUGCAGCCAAGGAAAAGCUUGGUGCUACAGUUGGUGCAGCUAAAGAGAAGGCUAGUGAAACUGCAGAAGAAGUAAAAGAAAAGGCUUACGAGGCAAAGA
rnacentral:misc_RNA from 1 species